rnacentral:rRNA from 1 species
GACGAACGCUGGCGGCGUGCUUAACACAUGCAAGUCGAACGGAAAGGCCCUGCUUUUGUGGGGUGCUCGAGUGCCGAACGGGUGAGUAACACGUGAGUAACCUGCCCUUGACUUUGGGAUAACUUCAGGAAACUGGGGCUACUACCGGAUAGGAGCCCCUGCUGCAUGGUGGGGGUUGGAAAGUUUCGGCGGUUGGGGAUGGACUCGCGGCUUAUCAGCUUGUUGGUGGGGUAGUGGCUUACCAAGGCUUUGACGGGUAGCCGGCCUGAGAGGGUGACCGGCCACAUUGGGACUGAGAUACGGCCCAGACUCCUACGGGAGGCAGCAGUGGGGAAUAUUGCACAAUGGGCGGAAGCCUGAUGCAGCAACGCCGCGUGCGGGAUGACGGCCUUCGGGUUGUAAACCGCUUUCGCCUGUGACGAAGCGUGAGUGACGGUAAUGGGUAAAGAAGCACCGGCUAACUACGUG